GACGAACGCUGGCGGCGUGCUUAACACAUGCAAGUCGAACGAAGUGGCGAACGGGUGAGUAACGCGUAAUCAACCUGCCCUUCAGAGGGGGACAACAGUUGGAAACGACUGCUAAUACCACAUACUGCAGGAGGGGCUGGCGUCUGAUUAGCUAGUGGGAGGGGACACGGCCCACCAAGGCGAUGAUCAGUAGCCGGUCUGAGAGGAUGAACGGCCAAAUUGGGACUGAGACACGGCCCAGUCUCCUACGGGAGGCAGCAGUGGGGAAUCUUCCGAAAUGGAGGAAAGUCUGACGGAGCAACGCCGCGUGAGUGAUGACGGCCUUCGGGUGGGAAAGCUCUGUUAAUCGGGACGCGGUACCGGAAUAGAAAGCCACGGCUAACUACGUGCCAGCAGCCGCGGUAAUUC
rnacentral:rRNA from 1 species